UACGGAGGUGGCAAGCGUUAUCCGGAUUUACUGGGUUAAAGGGUGUGUAAGGCGGACUUUUAAGUCAGGGGUGAAAUCCCGAGGCUCAACCUCGGGUCGUGCAGUCGAUACGGGCAAACUGGAGUACUGCAGGGGAGGACUGGAAUUCCUGGUGUAGCGGUGAAAUGCGCAGAUAUCAGGAGGAACACCGGUGGCGAAGGCGGGUCUCUGGGCCGAUACUGACGCUGAGGAGCGAAAGCGUGGGGGAGCGAACAGG
rnacentral:rRNA from 1 species